UGGGGAAUAUUGGACAAUGGGGGCAACCCUGAUCCAGCGAUGCCGCGUGGGUGAAGAAGGCCUUCGGGUUGUAAAGCCCUUUAGGUCGGGAAGAAGGUUAGUAGAGGAAAUGCUAUUAAUUUGACGGUACCGACAGAAUAAGCACCGGCAAACUCUGUGCCAGCAGCCGCGGUAAUACAGAGGGUGCGAGCGUUAAUCGGAUUUACUGGGCGUAAAGGGCGCGUAGGCGGUGAGAUGUGUGUGAUGUGAAAGCCCCGGGCUCAACCUGGGAAGUGCAUCGCAAACUGUCUGACUGGAGUAUAUGAGAGGGUGGCGGAAUUUCCGGUGUAGCGGUGAAAUGCGUAGAGAUCGGAAGGAACGUCGAUGGCGAAGGCAGCCACCUGGCAUAAUACUGACGCUGAGGCGCGAAAGCGUGGGGAUCGAACAGG
rnacentral:rRNA from 1 species